GAUGAACGCUAGCGGCAGGCCUAACACAUGCAAGUCGAGGGGUAACUAGAGUGAUAGCAAUAUUACUUUGGCUAGACCGGCGCACGGGUGCGUAACACGUAUGCAACCUACCUUAUACUGGGGAAUAACUUCGAGAAAUCGGCGCUAAUACCCCAUAACAUUGCGAAGAGGCAUCUCUUUGCAAUUAAAGCUCCGGCGGUAUAAGAUGGGCAUGCGUCCAAUUAGCUAGUUGGUGAGGUAACGGCUCACCAAGGCUACGAUUGGUAGGGGUUCUGAGAGGAUGAUCCCCCACACUGGUACUGAGACACGGACCAGACUCCUACGGGAGGCAGCAGUGAGGAAUAUUGCGCAAUGGACGAAAGUCUGACGCAGCCAUGCCGCGUGCAGGAUGACGGCCCUAUGGGUUGUAAACUGCUUUUGUACGGGAAUAAACCCUUCUACGUGUAGGAGGCUGAAGGUACCGUAAGAAUAAGCACUGGCUAACUCCGUGCCAGCAGCCGCCGUAAGAC
rnacentral:rRNA from 1 species